rfam:Heligmosomoides polygyrus genome assembly, scaffold: HPBE_scaffold0001842
GGUUUAUACCCAGUAUCUCAAGGUACUAAGGGCUUCCGGCCUUCCACUCGAUGGAUGCGUCGAAACCACAAUGUUUGGACCGCCUUCCCGGGGAAUCCGGGAGGGCAAC